AGAGAGGAGAAGAGAGAGAGAGAGAGAGAGAGAGAGCGAUGUCUUCCUGAUAAAAAUAAGAUGUUUUCCCUCUCACCCCCUUUUCCGCCCCUGUACUUCUUUACCGUACUUCUUUACUGUAUUACUUUACUGUACUAUUUUAUGCACUAUUUUACCAUACUAUUUUACUGUACUACUUUACUGUACUAUUUUACUGUACUACUUUACUGUACUACUUACUGUACUAUUUUACUGAAUUAUUUUACCAUAUUACUUUACUGUAGUAUUACUGUACUACUUUACUGUUCUGUUUAAUUGUACUACUUUACUGUACUAUUUAACUGUACUGUUUUACUGUACUUUUUACUGUACAAUUUAACUGUACUAUUUUACUGUACUACUUUAUUGUACUAUUUUACUGUACUAUUUUAUUGUAACUAUUUUACUGUACUAUUUAACUGUACUAUUUUAUUGUACUAUUUUACUGUACUACUUUACUGUACUAUUUAAGUGUACUAUUUUACUGUACUUUUUUACUGUACUAUUUUACUGUACUAUUUAUUGUACUAUUUAACUGUACUAUUUUAUUGUACUAUUUACUUGUACUAUUUUACUGUACUAUUUUACUGUACUACUUUACUGUACUAUUUAAGUGUACUAUUUUACUGUACUAUUUACUGUACUACUUUACUGUACUAUUUACUGUACUAUUUUACUGUACUAUUUUAUUGUACUACUUUACUGUACUAUUUAACUGUACUAUUUUACUGUACUUUUUGCUGUACUACUUUACUGCACUAUUUUACUGUACUAUGCAUAGUAUUAAAAUCACAGCCUUUAAAUCAGCAGCUGUCACUGAAAACUUUUAUGUUUAUGCAUUCGGAAGACGCUUGUUCUCCAAAGUUAUACCUGAGCUGAACAGAGGAGGGUUUAGGGCAUUGCUCAAGGGCACUACAGUGGCAGCUUACUAAAGCUGACUGCUUUAAUGACUGACUGACUCACUCACUUACUCACUUACUGACUCAUUUAAUAACUGACUUAACUUACUGACUUACUAACUUAGUACUUACUCACUUACUGACUUACUCAUUAACGUUAACUAACUCAUUAAGAACAUACUUAUUAACGUUACUUAUUAACAUACUGACUUACUAACUUAGCACUUACUCACUUACUUCCUGACUUACUCACUGAUGUACUAAUUUACUGAUUUACUAAAUUACUGACUUACCGACAUAAUCACUGACUUAAUAGCUAACUGACUCACUUACUGACUGAAUUACUCACUUACUUCCUGACUUACCAACUUACUAACCGUCUCACUUAUUUAAUAAUGUAAUGACUCACUGAAUUAAUUACUGACUUAAUAAUUUACAGACUUAAUAACUCACUAACUUAGCAACUUACUCACUUAAUGAAUUAAUGACUCAUGUGCUGCCUUACUCUUUAAUAACUUACUGACUCACUUACGGAAUUAAAUACUGACUUACUAACUUACUGACUUAAUUACUGACUAACUAAAUUACUGACUUACUCACUGACUUGAUUACUGACUUACUUACUGACUUGAUUACUGACUUAAUUACCGACUUACUAAUUUACUGACUUACUCACUGACUUAAUUACUGACUAACUAAUUUACUGACUUACUCACUGACUUGAUUACUGACUCACUUACUGACUUUAUUACUGACUUACUAAUUUACUGACUUACUCACUGACUUACCUACUGACUUAAUUACUGACUUAACUACUGACUUAACUACUGACUUAAUUACUGACCUAAUUACUGACUUACUAAUUUACCGACUUACUCUCUGACCUUCUUACUGACUUAAUUACCGACUUACUAAUUUACUGACUUACUCCACUGACCUUCUUACUGACUUAAUUACUGACUAACUAAUUUACUGACUUACUGACUUAAUUACUGACUAAUUUACUGAAUUACUCACUGACUUGAUUACUGACUUACUGACUUUAUUACUGACUUACUAAUUUACUGACUUACUCACUGACUUACCUACUGACUUAACUACUGACUUAAUUACUGACCUA
ensembl:lncRNA